rnacentral:rRNA from 1 species
GAUGAACGCUGGCGGCGUGCCUAAUACAUGCAAGUCGAGCGAACGGACGAGAAUCUUGCUUCUCUGAUGUUAGCGGCGGAUGGGUGAGUAACACGUGGAUAACCCUCCUAUAAGACUGGGAUAACUUCGGGAAACCGUAGCUAAUACCAGAUAAUAUUUUUAACCGCAUGGUUCAAAAGUGAAAGACGGUCUUGCUGUCACUUAUAGAUGUAUCCGCGCUUCAUUAGCUAGUUGGUAAGGUAACGGCUUACCAAGGCAACGAUGCAUAGCCGACCUGAGAGGGGGAUCGGCGACACAGGAACUGAGACACGGUCCAGACUCCUACGGGAGGCAGCAGUAGGGAAUCUUGCGAAAUGGGCGAAAGCCUGACGGAGCAACGCCGCGUGAGUGAUGAAGGUCUUCGGAUCGUAAAACUCUGUUAUUAGGGAAGAACAUAUGUGUAAGUAACUGUGCACAUCUUGACGGUACCUAAUCAGAAAGCAACGGCUAACUACGUG